AUGCAGCACGCCGCGUGAGCGAUGAAGGCCUUCGGGUCGUAAAGCUCUGUCCUCAAGGAAGAUAAUGACGGUACUUGAGGAGGAAGCCCCGGCUAACUACGUGCCAGCAGCCGCGGUAAUACGUAGGGGGCUAGCGUUAUCCGGAAUUACUGGGCGUAAAGGGUGCGUAGGUGGUUUUUUAAGUCAGAAGUGAAAGGCUACGGCUCAACCGUAGUAAGCUUUUGAAACUAGAGAACUUGAGUGCAGGAGAGGAGAGUAGAAUUCCUAGUGUAGCGGUGAAAUGCGUAGAUAUUAGGAGGAAUACCAGUAGCGAAGGCGGCUCUCUGGACUGUAACUGACACUGAGGCACGAAAGCGUGGGGAGCAAACAGGAUUAGAUACCCUGGUAGUCCACGCCGUAAACCAUGAGUACUAGGUGUCGGGGGUUACCCCCCGCGGUGCCGCAACUAACGCAAUAAGUACUCCAUGUGGGAAUUAGGCUCGGAUGAGUGAAACUCUAGGAAUUGACCGGGAGCCGCACAACUUGCGGAGCACGUGGUUUAAUUCGAAGCAUCGCAGACAAGCUUACCUAAUCUUGACGUCCCAGUGACCUCUCCCUAAUCGGAGAUUUCCAUUCGGGGACACUGCUAACCCGUGGUGCAUGGUUGUCGUCAGCUCGUGUCAUGAGAUGUUGGGUUAGUUCGCGCCACAAGCGCUACUGGUUGCCUUUAGUUGCCAGCAUUAAAUUGGGCACUCUGGGAGGGACUGCCCACGAUAACUCGGAUCAGGUAUCGAUGACCUCGAAUCUCCAUGCCCCUCACGCGCAGGGCUACUCACGUGCUACAAUGGGUGGCUAACGAUGGAUGGCGUAGCCGUUCUGUGCUUAUAUACCAAAACAGCCAUUCACCCUUCACACCGUAUGCUUACACUCGCCGAUAGCACCUAGAUUUUAUAGUAAGCGCAGAGCAGAAGUUGCGUGGACUGCCUUCCUCCGCGUCUCGUAGAUAACGUUCCGUCAAGACAGAGAAUACGACCCGCAAGACUUCAGUUAUCCAAGCGUCUUAGCAGCGUCCCGUCUUA
rnacentral:rRNA from 1 species